rnacentral:rRNA from 1 species
UAGGGAAUCUUCGGCAAUGGGGGGAACCCUGACCGAGCAACGCCGCGUGAGUGAAGAAGGUUUUCGGAUCGUAAAGCUCUGUUGUUAAGGAAGAACGAGUGUGAGAAUGGAAAGUUCAUACUGUGACGGUACUUAACCAGAAAGGGACGGCUAACUACGUGCCAGCAGCCGCGGUAAUACGUAGGUCCCGAGCGUUGUCCGGAUUUAUUGGGCGUAAAGCGAGCGCAGGCGGUUAGAUAAGUCUGAAGUUAAAGGCAGUGGCUCAACCAUUGUAGGCUUUGGAAACUGUUUAACUUGAGUGCAGAAGGGGGGAGUGGAAUUCCAUGGGUAGCGGGGAAAUGCGUAGAUAUAUGGAGGAACACCGGUGGCGAAAGCGGCUCUCUGGUCUGUAACUUACGCUGGGGCUCGAAAGCGUGGGGAGCGAACAGG